CCUACGGGUGGCAGCAGUGGGGGAUAUUGCACAAUGGGGGAGACCCUGAUGCAGCGACGCCGCGUGAGUGAAGAAGUAUUUCGGUAUGUAAAGCUCUAUCAGCAGGGAAGAAAAUGCCGGUACCUGACCACGCAUCCCCGGCUAACUCCGUGCCAGCAGCCGCAGGACUACGUAGGGAGCCAGCGUUAUCCGGAUUUACUGGGUGUAAAGGGAGCGUAGACGGUUAUGUAAGUCUGGAGUGAAAGCCCGGGGCCCAACCCCGGGACUGCUUUGGAAACUGUGGAACUGGAGUGCAGGAGGGGCAGGCGGAAUUCCUGGUGUAGCGGUGAAAUGCGUAGAUAUCAGGAGGAACACCGGCGGCGAAGGCGGCCUGCUGGACUGAAACUGACGUUGAGGCUCGAAAGCGUGGGGAGCAAACAGGAUUAGAUACCCCAGUAGUC
rnacentral:rRNA from 1 species